AGCGUUGUUGGCGCGGGCGAGGCGAGGGUGUCGCGCGCAUGGCUCUGCCGAGCUCGGCGGUGAAGCUCCGCCGGAUCCUGGCGCAUUUCCCUCAAGAGCUCAGCCUCGCCUUUGCUUAUGGCUCCGGCGUCUUCCAGCAAGCGGGGGCUUCCUCCGCGGAAAAGGAGAACAAUAUGCUGGAUUUUGUAUUUGCUGUUGAUGAUUCUGUAUCAUGGCAUUCAAUGAACCUCUUGAAGAAUCGGAGUCAUUAUUCUUUCCUGAAGUAUUUGGGGCCCAAACCAAUCUCUUCUGUCCAGAAGUAUGGAGCAGGAAUUUACUUCAAUACAUUGGUGCCUUGUAAUGGUAAGGUUAUAAAAUACGGUGUAAUUAGUACUGAUGCACUUAUAGAAGAUUUGCUUCACUGGAAGACUCUCUAUGUAGCAGGACGUCUGCAAAAGCCGGUUAAAAUCCUAACCCAGAAUGAAAAUUCAAAGCUGCAGUCUGCCCUCACAAGCAAUUUGAAGAGUGCACUCACAGCAGCCUUUCUUAUGUUGCCUGAAAGUUUCUCUGAAGAAGAUCUUUAUAUGCAGAUUGCGGGACUCUCAUAUUUUGGUGACUUCAGAAUGAUCAUUGGAGAAGAUAAGUCAAAGGUUAUGAACAUAGUGAAGCCAAACAUGGUACAUUUUCAGAAGCUAUACAGUAACAUGCUGCAAGAUUGCCCACAAGUGGUAUACAAGCACCAUCUGGGCAGAAUGGAGAUAGAUAAGAGUCCGGAAGGUCAAUUUACACAACUGAUGACUUUGCCAAGGGCCUUGCAGCAGAAAAUAACAUCUCUCAUGGAUCCUCCAGGGAAGAACAGAGAUGUUGAAGAAAUUUUAUUGCAAGUUGCCCAUGAUCCAGACUGUGGAUUAGUGGUACAUCAGGGCAUUUCGAGAAUUGUGAGAUUGUCCAGCCUAGUUCAGAGUGCUAAAACCACCCUAACAGUUGGGAUGAAAAAAUCAGUGAUUUACAGCACAAAGAAGUUGUACAAAAUGUCAAAAGGAUGGCUAAGGAAGACAUGAAGUCUGUGGAAAAAUUGGCUGAGAUUAAGGCCAAUUACAGGUUGUGAAGAAGAGGCUAACAUGGCUACCGCUUCACAAACAUCUGAGCUGAAACCAAACAGAUAAUAAGAUUUAUCCAAACUUUUCAACAAUCCGACUGUUUCCACCCACUGGAAUAUGUAUCUCCAAACGUAGAGGUUUGUAGUCGGCUUGCAGAUCAUCCAGCGGUCAAAGUUAAAGGGGAGGACAUCUUACAGAGGCAUACUGUGUAAUUUUAAGAAAUAGUAAAUGGAAAUCCUUCAAAAGGCAAGCAUGCAGAAUAAAGUUUUGCAUACCUGGCAGUGCAUGUUACAAGGUAUGCAGUGUUCAAAAUCUGAGACUUCAUAUCCAAAUAAAGGCAAUGCCAAGCUACUAUUUUUGAAGAACUGGGCUGCUGGUUGAUUAAACGUUUGGAGGUUUUGUGUCCCUUUGAGACCCUAUCUUUCUUCCCCCUCUUAUGCUGGAGCCUUUUCCUCUUUGUCUCUUGGUGAAUAUAUAUUUUCUAUGAAUAUGUCUUUCUGUAUUUUAUAAUUGUAUUUUGACUAAUAAAACU